rnacentral:rRNA from 1 species
GAUUGAACGCUGGCGGCAUGCCUUACACAUGCAAGUCGAACGGCAGCACGGGUGCUUGCACCUGGUGGCGAGUGGCGAACGGGUGAGUAAUACAUCGGAACAUGUCCUGUAGUGGGGGAUAGCCCGGCGAAAGCCGGAUUAAUACCGCAUACGAUCUACGGAUGAAAGCGGGGGACCUUCGGGCCUCGCGCUAUAGGGUUGGCCGAUGGCUGAUUAGCUAGUUGGUGGGGUAAAGGCCUACCAAGGCGACGAUCAGUAGCUGGUCUGAGAGGACGACCAGCCACACUGGGACUGGGACACGGCCCAGACUCCUACGGGAGGCAGCAGUGGGGAAUUUUGGACAAUGGGCGAAAGCCUGAUCCAGCAAUGCCGCGUGUGUGAAGAAGGCCUUCGGGUUGUAAAGCACUUUUGUCCGGAAAGAAAUCCUUGGCUCUAAUACAGUCGGGGGAUGACGGUACCGGAAGAAUAAGCACCGGCUAACUACGUGCCAGCAGCCGCGGUAAUACGUAGGGUGCGAGCGUUAAUCGGAAUUACUGGGCGUAAAGCGUGCGCAGGCGGUUUGCUAAGACCGAUGUGAAAUCCCCGGGCUCAACCUGGGAACUGCAUUGGUGACUGGCAGGCUAGAGUAUGGCAGAGGGGGGUAGAAUUCCACGUGUAGCAGUGAAAUGCGUAGAGAUGUGGAGGAAUACCGAUGGCGAAGGCAGCCCCCUGGGCCAAUACUGACGCUCAUGCACGAAAGCGUGGGGAGCAAACAGGAUUAGAUACCCUGGUAGUCCACGCCCUAAACGAUGUCAACUAGUUGUUGGGGAUUCAUUUCCUUAGUAACGUAGCUAACGCGUGAAGUUGACCGCCUGGGGAGUACGGUCGCAAGAUUAAAACUCAAAGGAAUUGACGGGGACCCGCACAAGCGGUGGAUGAUGUGGAUUAAUUCGAUGCAACGCGAAAAACCUUACCUACCCUUGACAUGGUCGGAAUCCCGCUGAGAGGUGGGAGUGCUCGAAAGAGAACCGGCGCACAGGUGCUGCAUGGCUGUCGUCAGCUCGUGUCGUGAGAUGUUGGGUUAAGUCCCGCAACGAGCGCAACCCUUGUCCUUAGUUGCUACGCAAGAGCACUCUAAGGAGACUGCCGGUGACAAACCGGAGGAAGGUGGGGAUGACGUCAAGUCCUCAUGGCCCUUAUGGGUAGGGCUUCACACGUCAUACAAUGGUCGGAACAGAGGGUUGCCAACCCGCGAGGGGGAGCUAAUCCCAGAAAACCGAUCGUAGUCCGGAUUGCACUCUGCAACUCGAGUGCAUGAAGCUGGAAUCGCUAGUAAUCGCGGAUCAGCAUGCCGCGGUGAAUACGUUCCCGGGUCUUGUACACACCGC